GCAUUUAACAGAAACCAAUUGUAGCCACCUGUGGUCUGUGGGGAGCAGAGGAUUGUAGCAGGGGGAGGGAUAUUUUGCACAUAUUUAACAGCGUGCCACAAGUCCGCCAUUGUGUGGGGGAAGGAUGCUCUACUGUAAGCUGUGCAAAUACUCCAGAAAGAGCGGCAGCUGUGGAUAGUUCAGUGAAGUCGAGGACGUAUGAGAAUUUGUUCAAUGGACAGGUGUUCCAAAAGACAGGAUAGAAUGUCUGGUGAGGUGGAACAAGGCGGAAGUGCACAGCAGCGUGGGGACUGGAGUGGUUUGUGGGUUCAAAAUGGUGGAGUCAGGAAGGCAGUAUCUAGAACAGUAGCUGUGGGGGGAGGGCCUGCGUGUGUCCUGCGUCAAAUGUGUUGUGUGCAGAAGCCCUGUAGACACCUGUACUUGCCGUGUAGACUCGUGCCUGUUCACCUUCACCUGUAGAAUCUGGAACUCUGAAUUCCUUCACUUCCUUCCUGUUUCACCAGUCCUGCUGGCACCUUCGUCAGCACAGCCCCCUGGACUAUUAAGCUAACAUGCAGCCCCAGGAAGACUUCAUUUUCUAGUUUAUGUCAUAUUGUAAAUCUGACACAACAGACAUACUCUAACCCACAAACUUCUUCAGACCUGGGAAGAACAUUUCCUGAUCUUUUUUUACAGCCCUGUAUUCCUAAUGCUGAGUGCAUUGCUGGAGGAGGUGAGCGUGAGGAACAUAGUCAGAGUGACAUCUUCACAAGCGGCCUGGGGAGCAGGCUCCUCUGCCCACCCUGAAGGAUUCCUUACCCUCCCGUGGCAUCUACAGAACUAGCAGAGGUGGAGCCCAGAGCGAAUGCACCAGAUGGGAGUUUAUACGGCUGCGACACCAAUUUUAGGCAUGUGAUUCCUUCUGGACUAGAAGGGGAGAUGGGACAAAAGCAAGGACAGGCUUGGGGACUUCAGGUAUAGACGUGACACUUGCCUUCUGAGGACAGAUGUGUACACAGUAUAUCCUUGCAGUUUUUCUUAAUUAUGAAGUGUUUCGAUGAGAAGGUUUAAGAUGAAGUACACUUACUUAUCUUUGACCAACGGAUCCCUACAUAGGCCUGGAGGUGGAGGGCAGCCCUGGCUGAUGGACUCUCGAGGCUUGGGGGGGUAUUAAAUCAAAAUUUUCAGCAGAGCGAGGGGUGUCAGAGGGCUUCUGGGCUCAGAGCCAACAACUUAGACUAGAAGGUUAUAAGCUGGCGGAGUACAAAAGCCAGUGAAUCUAUUGUAUUUACUGGAGAAAGCCUCAAAAAUGGGCAAUUCCUAGCUUCUUAGUUUAUUUGCUGGGUUUGUUGUUGUUGUUGUUGUUGUUAGAACCAGGAACAAGUAUUCCUAUAGAAACAGUAUUCUAAAUGGUAGCUCUACCUCAAAACCAACCCACAGAAGCUUGCAUUUCCCUAAUGUACCUAAAAUACUGUACUAAUAACACUGAGGCCCCUGACCACCGUUUCUAGCAGCGUCUCUGUGGGAAAGUGCAUUUAGUGUUUUAAUGCCCGUAGCACACAUUCCUCAGCCCUGCAAGUCUUCUGGACUCUUGACCUUAUUCCCAGAGUGCUGAUUCUUAUCAGAGUGGCUCCUUAUGUGGGAGAGAGCAGGAUGAUAGUUUUCUGUUGCUACAGGAUGCAAGCUAGAGUUUGAAGCAAUUCCUCUUCACGGAGCUUUCCCCAGCCCCUACCCUGGCCUGUGAUCUCAGUUUAGCCUUCACCCCCCAAGCACAGGGAGGGAUCCUCACAGUCAAUAUACUCUGCCUACCCAGUCACAAGGUAACGGACUUCAUUUGUAGGUCUCUGGGGUGUCAGAGGAGGGACUGUGAGUUCUCAUAUCAUGAAAGAAAUAGUAUGAAAGAUUAGUAUAAUCUUGGAGACCCUGGGAUGGGAAACAAGCCUUGGAAAACUUUUGACUUAGGGGACAGGGUGAACAAAUUCUUUAGUCUAUGACAUGGCUCAGUGGGUAAAGGUACUGAUUGACCUGAGUUCCCACAGGGUAGAAGGAAAGAGUCAGCUUCUACAGAUUGAACUCUGAUGUCUAUAUGUAUGUCAUGGAUCAUGCAUAUACUUGAAAUAAAUACAUGGAGAGAGAGAGACAGAGAGAGACAGACAGAGACAGAGAAACAGAGAGAGAUAGAGACAGACAAAAACAGAAAGACAGACAGACAGAGACAGACAAAAACAGAGAGACAGAGAAACAGAGACAGAGACAGAGAGACAGAGACAGAGAGACAGAGGCAGAGAGACAGAGACAGACAGAGAGACAGACAGACAAAAACAGAAAGACAAACAGAGAGACAGAGACAGACAGACAAAAACAGAAAGACAGACAGAGAGAUAGAGACAGAUAGAGAGAAAGAAUUAUUCCUAGACUGGAGAGAUGGCUCAGUGGUUAAGAGCACUGACUGUUCUUCCAGAGGUCUUGAGUUCAAUUCUCAGCAA
rnacentral:lncRNA from 1 species